AUUGAACGCUCGCGGGAUGCUUUACACAUGCAAGUCGAACGGCAGCGCGGACUUCGGUCUGGCGGCGAGUGGCGAACGGGUGAGUAAUGUAUCAGAACGUGCCCAGUAGCGGGGGAUAACUACGCGAAAGCGUAGCUAAUACCGCAUACGCCCUACGGGGGAAAGCAGGGGAUCGUAAGACCUUGCACUAUUGGAGCGGCCGAUAUCGGAUUAGCUAGUUGGUGAGGUAACGGCUCACCAAGGCGACGAUCCGUAGCUGGUUUGAGAGGACGACCAGCCACACUGGGACUGAGACACGGCCCAGACUCCUACGGGAGGCAGCAGUGGGGAAUUUUGGACAAUGGGGGCAACCCUGAUCCAGCCAUCCCGCGUGUGCGAUGAAGGCCUUCGGGUUGUAAAGCACUUUUGGCAGGAAAGAAACGUCGCGGGCUAAUACCCCGUGGAACUGACGGUACCUGCAGAAUAAGCACCGGCUAACUACGUG
rnacentral:rRNA from 1 species